CAAGUCUGGUGCCAGCAGCCGCGGUAAUUCCAGCUCCAAUAGCGUAUAUUAAAGUUGUUGCAGUUAAGAAGCUCGUAGUUGAAUUUCUGCCUUAUCAUUAAUUUCGCUUCCGAACGUAAUUUUAUUGAUUUGGCAUCUUCUGGAUUAUAUAUUAUUUUUAAUAUAUUUUUCCAGUAUUUUACUUUGAGAAAACUAGAGUGUUUCAAACAGGCUUUUGCCUUGAAUACUACAGCAUGGAAUAAUGAAGUAGGACUAUUGGUUCUAUUUUGUUGGUUAUCGAACCAUAGUAAUGGUUAAUAGGAGCAGUUGGGGGCAUUCGUAUUUAACUGUCAGAGGUGAAAUUCUUAGAUUUGUUAAAGACGAACUACUGCGAAAGCAUUUGCCAAGGAUGUU
rnacentral:rRNA from 1 species